AAGCAUUUCUUUGUCUGCAUCAACAAAGCUCGUUCCCUUUGUUUCAGCUUAUACUUGUUCAGCACGUAUCUUUUCUGCGUACUCAUACUUUAUCGCAUCUUCCAUCUUCUUAACCCGUUUUUCCACAUGAUCACGAAUUCUUUUAUGAGCAGACUCAGUAUCAGAAGGGAAAUGGAUAUUCAGGUCUUUGCAGGCAACCUCUUGGAAAAGUAUUAUUAGAAUAGGAAUGCAUAUAUUCCUUUCUGUAUUUUAGGAAUCUUCUCAUUAAGCCUCUAACGGCUACUUUGUAUAUUGCUAUGUAUUUAAACCCUUUGUGAAUAUGUCAAGGAACUCAUCAAUUGAGAUUAUACCUAUUCUAAUAUGGUAUCAGAGACUCUUCUCUAAACUCUAGCAGUCAUCUUUUCCUCAUCUUUUCAGUCUUCUUCUUCGUGUUCUCUCUCUCUCUUUUGCUCUUCGCUUCACUUUUCUCUCUGUAUCUCUAGCUCUUCUCUCCAAUUUUUUUUUCUUUGUCUCUCUUGAUCUGCACUUAAUUCAUGGCGACAGUUCCUCCACCAACCGCUACUACUCCUGCUGCGAGUCUCACUCAGAUCCGUGCUCACAUCCCCAUCACUCUCAACAUGGAGAAGAUGAACUACGAUUCAUGGCGCAUCCUCUUCGAAACUCAUUGCCUUAGUUUCUCUCUCACCGGGCAUAUCGAUGGCACCUCCCUUCCCAUCGGACCAACCGACGCAACAUGGAAGCAACUUGACAAUACGGUUAAGAUGUGGAUCUACGGUACCAUUUCAGAAUCGCUCCUCAACUCUGUCUUAAAAUCGCAGUGCUCUGCACGCGAACUUUGGCUCAUGCUCGAGAAUUUAUUCCUCGACAACAAAGAAGCCCGUGCAAUACAACUGAAAAAUGAACUCCGAAAUCUCUGGAUUGGCGAUCAAUCCGUUCAUGACUAUUGUCAAAAACUGAAGUCACUCUCUGAUACGCUCGCCAAUGUGGAUUCCCCUGUCUCAGAUCGCGCCUUAGUGAUGCACCUUCUCAAUGGACUUAGCUCCAAAUUUGAUAACA
rnacentral:sRNA from 1 species